AAGGACGGGGGCAGCUUCAGCUUGGCCACCCCAGUCCCAUGCCACACCUGCAGACCACGGGCGCCAGGACUGGAUCCCUGCCUGUCCCCUUCUCUUGCCUCCCAGGACUUUCCACGUCCCUUCAUGUGGGCAUGCGAGCUCCCAGCUCCCUGGCCGGGCAGGGCAAGGCCCUCCUCAUGGUCUCAGGGCCCUACCUUGUGGCUGCAGAGAGGGAGGCGAGACACCAACCUCACCUUCCGUGGUAGGCGUGAUCUUGUCUUGUCCGGACGAGUACGUGCUGACUGACCUGCAGCAGUGUUUCAGACACGCCACUUACAGACGCUCCUAACGCCGCCCGCCAGAGUCACUGCACCACCUCCUCUGAUGGGCAGCAAGAUACUGGCAUGUGUUCCAGACCCUCAUUUUGCAGAUGGGAAAGGCGAGGCCCAGAAGGUCCAGUGACUUAUGCAAAGCUACCCCAUUUCCUAGCCACAGAGCUAGGACUAGAAAUGAAAUCGGCUCCUGACUGAACUGUUCGCUGAGCUCUCUGCCUUGAAGAGUCCUCAUCUGCCCCGUCUUUAUGAAACCUGAGUGUUUGUUGGAAGCAGGCACAGUAAGGAUGGUUCAAACCAGCUUGGUAGUUACUGUCAGCAGAGAUGGUGGCUGGAACCGAAACAGCUCAACAUGUUGCCAAGAUGUCUAUGAUACAAUACACAGCUUGUCAUUCAGUCCUGAACGUUACCUGCAUGAAUAACUCAUUAACUCAUGAGUCCAUUUUUAGGUCUGUGUAUGUUGCUGAUUUCUAAUUACUUGAAGUGUUAUUCUGAGAAUCUGAUCUGAAUGUGUAACUUAAAAUCUUAACAGAAAACAGACACCACGUUCCAGUGGGUGAUUGAGGAAACUUGAACAAAGAGGCUUCUUACAAACGUGUCAGCAGGGUUUCAGGAAACCAAGAAGAAAUACUUGAACUCAAAACCCAGCAAGAACAGGAAGUCAUAGCCCCUGCCGGGCCUGGAGGGUACGGAGAGGGAAGGCUGACCCCAGCCCAGGGGCAGAGGAGUCGUAGGAGAGGGUCUCCUGACAGCGGCUGUGGUCUCGGCAGAGAAACUCACUCAGCUGAUAGCAACCCACGCAGAGCAAUCCAGGGAGUAAGUAUUCGGAUUCACCCAUUUCCCAGCCGAGUCUCCUGCUUAUACUUCCCGGGAAUCCGAACCAGCCAGACGCUGACAGCAAGGGGCACAGGCGACAGGCUGGCUGGAGGGCGGGCUUGGCUGGUGUGAUGAAAGUGGCCCAUGCAGUUCUUUCUGUCCCUCAGAGCGUUUGCUUAUCUAUCUGUCAUUCAAGUGAAAAUAAAUGUGUUUUCAGCACAAAGCUCCACGAGCUGCCAUUUCACUAAGUGAUAGCAGUACUUGAAAUGAAAGUAUUAGUCUCCACCGUCUUCUUAAUAAAGUCAGUGGGAGUAAAGAUGGAGAAAAUGAAAGAUGAACUAACAUAAAACUUAGCUGAUGCACCUGUCUCUGGGGUGCAUCAGGUGCCUGAGUCGGUAAGGAUAACUGUUGAUAUUUACUAUUAAUUUCCUGUUCCCUUUACGCGCUUCCUGCACCUCAGCUGGGUGGCGCCGUUUUACCAGGCAGGCUGUUUGGAACUUUGAUUUUGUUACUUUCAGAGCUCCCGGUGUCCCCAC